rnacentral:rRNA from 1 species
GCGAGUGAAGCGGCAAAAGCUCAAAUUUGAAAUCUGGCACCUUCGGUGUCCGAGUUGUAAUUUGAAGAAGGUAACUUUGGAGUUGGCUCUUGUCUAUGUUCCUUGGAACAGGACGUCACAGAGGGUGAGAAUCCCGUGCGAUGAGAUGCCCAAUUCUAUGUAAAGUGCUUUCGAAGAGUCGAGUUGUUUGGGAAUGCAGCUCUAAGUGGGUGGUAAAUUCCAUCUAAAGCUAAAUAUUGGCGAGAGACCGAUAGCGAACAAGUACAGUGAUGGAAAGAUGAAAAGAACUUUGAAAAGAGAGUGAAAAAGUACGUGAAAUUGUUGAAAGGGAAGGGCUUGAGAUCAGACUUGGUAUUUUGCGAUCCUUUCCUUCUUGGUUGGGUUCCUCGCAGCUUACUGGGCCAGCAUCGGUUUGGAUGGUAGGAUAAUGACUAAGGAAUGUGGCUCUACUUCGGUGGAGUGUUAUAGCCCUUGGUUGAUACUGCCUGUCUAGACCGAGGACUGCGUCCUUU